rnacentral:rRNA from 1 species
AUUGAACGCUGGCGGCAUGCCUUACACAUGCAAGUCGAACGGCAGCACGGAGCAAUCCUGGUGGCGAGUGGCGAACGGGUGAGUAAAGUAUCGGAACGUGCCCAGUCGUGGGGGAUAACGUAGCGAAAGUUACGCUAAUACCGCAUACGAUCUAUGGAUGAAAGCGGGGGAUCGCAAGACCUCGCGCGAUUGGAGCGGCCGAUAUCAGAUUAGGUAGUUGGUGGGGUAAAGGCUCACCAAGCCGACGAUCUGUAGCUGGUCUGAGAGGACGACCAGCCACACUGGGACUGAGACACGGCCCAGACUCCUACGGGAGGCAGCAGUGGGAAAUUUUGGACAAUGGGCGAAAGCCUGAUCCAGCCAUGCCGCGUGCAGGAUGAAGGCCUUCGGGUUGUAAACUGCUUUUGUACGGAACGAAAAGGUUUGGCCUAAUAAGCUGAGCUCAUGACGGUACCGUAAGAAUAAGCACCGGCUAACUACGUGCCAGCCGCCGCGGUAA